CCUACGGGGUGCUGCAGUGAGGCAUAUUUGUCAAUGGACGCAAGUCUGAACCAGCCAUGCCGCGUGCAGGAUGACGGCUCUAUGAGUUGUAAACUGCUUUUGUACGAGGGUAAACCCCGAUACGUGUAUCGGGUUGACAGUAUCGUACGAAUAAGGAUCGGCUAACUCCGUGCCAGCAGCCGCGGUAAUACGUAGGAUCCGAGCGUUAUCCGGAUUUAUUGGGUUUAACGGGUGCGUAGGCGGUGUGAUAAGUUAGAGGUGAAAUGUCUGGGCUCAACCCCGCAACUGCCUCGAAUACUGUUGGACUAGAGAAUAGUUGCGGUAGGCGGAAUGUAUGGGGUAGCGGUGAAAUGCUUAGAGAUCAUACAGAACACCGAUUGCGAAGGCAGCUUACCAAACUAUAUCGGACGUUGAGGCACGAAAGCGUGGGUAGCAAACAGGAUUAGAUACCCCAGGAGUC
rnacentral:rRNA from 1 species